rnacentral:rRNA from 1 species
GGCAAUCUGCCCUUCACUCUGGGACAAGCCCUGGAAACGGGGUCUAAUACCGGAUAACACCUGCCCGGGCAUCUGGGUGGGUUAAAAGCUCCGGCGGUGAAGGAUGAGCCCGCGGCCUAUCAGCUUGUUGGUGAGGUAGUGGCUCACCAAGGCGACGACGGGUAGCCGGCCUGAGAGGGCGACCGGCCACACUGGGACUGAGACACGGCCCAGACUCCUACGGGAGGCAGCAGUGGGGAAUAUUGCACAAUGGGCGAAAGCCUGAUGCAGCGACGCCGCGUGAGGGAUGACGGCCUUCGGGUUGUAAACCUCUUUCAGCAGGGAAGAAGCGAAAGUGACGGUACCUGCAGAAGAAGCGCCGGCUAACUACGUGCCAGCAGCCGCGGUAAUACGUAGGGCGCAAGCGUUGUCCGGAAUUAUUGGGCGUAAAGAGCUCGUAGGCGGCUUGUCACGUCGGGUGUGAAAGCCCGGGGCUUAACCCCGGGUCUGCAUUCGAUACGGGCUAAGCUAGAGUGUGGUAGGGGAGAUCGGAAUUCCUGGUGUAGCGGUGAAAUGCGCAGAUAUCAGGAGGAACACCGGUGGCGAAGGCGGAUCUCUGGGCCAUUACUGACGCUGAGGAGCGAAAGCGUGGGGAGCGAACA